GUGUUYGGAUCGCGGCGACGUGGGCGGUCCGCCGCCGGCGACGUCGCGAGAAGUCCACUGAACCUUAUCAUUUAGAGGAAGGAGAAGUCGUAACAAGGUUUCCGUAGGUGAACCUGCGGAAGGAUCAUUGUCGAUGGCCCGCAAGAGCGAGGGUAGACCCGCGAACCGCGUGACUCGAACGAACGGGCGGGGGAGGGGGGCGGCCCCUUCCUCUCCCGCCGCCGCCGCCGCGGCACCGGCGCGAGGCCGGGCGCGGCGGGCGACCGACCCACAACACAGGGCGCGAGUGGCGCCAAGGAACCCAAGAGGAGCGCGGCCCGGGGAGAGGAGGACGGGCGUCGCCUCCCCCGCGCGCCGCGAGAGGGAAUCGUGGAAUUCUCGUCUCGGACGACUCUCGGCAACGGAUAUCUCGGCUCUCGCAUCGAUGAAGAACGCAGCGAAAUGCGAUACUUGGUGUGAAUUGCAGAAUCCCGCGAACCAUCGAGUCUUUGAACGCAAGUUGCGCCCGAGGCCACCCGGCCGAGGGCACGCCUGCCUGGGCGUCACGCACCGCGCUGCCCGCACCCGGCCCCCGGGCGACGGGCGGAGACUGGCCGACCGUGCGCCCCGCGCGCGCGGCGGGCCGAAAGCCAUGAUGCAUGCACGACGAUGCAGCGCAUCGAGUGCCCCCCCCGGAGGGGCGUCGGCACGGCGUUGGGUGGUCACACGAGGGCUCCGAGCCGCUGCGAUCGGACGCCGCCGCGCGCCGCCCGCUCCGAGGGGGACGUAGGCGCCCCCACCCCGAGACUGCGUCGCGACCCCAGGUCAGGCGGGGCCACCCGCCGAGUUUAAGCAUAUAAAUAAGCGGAGGAAAARAAACUUACCAGGAUUCCCC
rnacentral:rRNA from 1 species